UUUUGCUAAUGAGAUUUGAUUAUCUUUGAGUUCAUAUUUCUUCUUCUAUAAUCUGGUCUUGGGCUAGUGUGGAAUUUGCACUACUUGAGAAUCAAUUUUCUGGAACUUGGAACUUGGAACUUGGAACCUUUUUUUUUUUUUUUUUUUGGAACUUGGAACUUGGAACUUUCAGUUUUUAUACUUGUAUGCCAUUAAAAAAAAAGCAAUGGAAUAAGAAGAAUCAUUACUUAUUUCAUUAAAAAAAAGAGAGAAAAAAAAACCAGUAUUUUAACAAGCACGUUGUUUUUGUCAUAAAAAAUAAAAAAAAAAUAUUAGUGUUUUACAUUAUUACAUGUGGAGAACCGAGGAUAAGUCCAACCAGAUCCAGAUAUUGUCUCAUACACAUUAAUUCUAGACUCUCAAACUCUUCCUGGGGGUUUUGGAUCGUGCUCUGGAUUUGCUCCCACCCCUGAAUAGUCUGCGGUUUCCAAAUCCAUCCGUCCCUCAAUAAACCCUUCUCCCAAACCAACAACACCUUCCUCCACCAAACUCUGAAAAGCAGAGACUCCUCAACUUAAUUUCUGCAUGAAAAUUGGUUUAUGCAUAAACCCAACAAAAUUACAGACAGAGAGAUCAUUACCUGACCCAGUAGAGCUUCUUUAUUUAUCUUCAGGCUUCCUAUAAUAUUACAGAAAAGAAAAAUACAAAAAAAAAAAAAAAAAAGGGUUGAUCAUUAUUGAUCCCUUUGUUAAAAUAAACACAAAUAAAUAAACAUUUAUGAAAGCUUACUAGUGGUAGAAGCUGCAGCAGCAGAUGAGGAGAAGAGGACAUGUGUUAAGCUCAAAAAAAGAACUAGUUUAAUCAUGGAAGACUUGUAGGGCAGCAUGCUGAUGAAGAAGCACUAGAACUUGAUGAUGGAGAUCUAAAAGGCAGCAGGAAGAAAUAGAAGAGAAUGGGAGGAGAGAGUGGUGAGUGGUGGGUGAUGAUGAAGGCAAUAGGAAACAUGUGGGGAUGGCUUUUUAUACAGAUAAGAAGACAAGUUGAAAAUGCAAUAAGACAAAGAGGGUAGCCAAUAGAAAUAUUGCUUCUCUAAAGUCAACUUACUUAACUAAUUAAUUUCUUCGGGUGUGCGUUAGGUUUUCUUCCAUAUUUAUAUUUCCAUCCCUCUGUGUCUAUCUCUCUCUCUUUUUUUCUUCUCUUUUUUAUUGCCAGCACAAAUAUCUGCCAAGAUAUUAUGCAAGGAACAGAAUGCACAAGCCGAACCCAAAUUUGCUUAAGAUCUUGC
rnacentral:lncRNA from 1 species